GUUGUGAGCAGAGACUAUGAGGAAGACGGUUUUUUGAAGAACAAUAAAUGUCUCACUAAAGUGAUCCUGAACAAUGAUAGCAAGGUCCUUGUAGUAGAUGCUGAGUGCUUAAAAUUUGAAGAAAGGACCUCGAAGCAGUGCAGAAAGGAAGAUUGCCUGUUCAACCUCUGUUGUUAUUCAAACUCUGACACUGGCAUAUCGAGUGGAUUUCCUGUUAUACUAACAGUGUCUUACAAUGGAGCAAACAGGAUCAUCUGCAGCCGUGUCAACGCAAAUGGAAAGGGUGUUUAUGCAAAACAGCAGGACCUGCCUCUUCCCACAUACAUAAAGGACUCCAGCCACGAGGCUGUGUUCUUCCUGCAGAUUGUGAAAGGACGGAGCCACUGCUACAGAGUGGAGUCCUCCCUGUGGCCGAAAUGGUUCCUGUCUUUUCAAGCAGAAAGGGAGGGUGUUGUGAAGCUGGUGCUGAGAGAGGUUGGGGACGACGAGGUGGAGGGGUUCCAGCUGCUGGAGCCGUGAGGAAAGGGCUGUAGACUUCAAGGGGAUUUAGGCGUGUCUCUACAGUGAGGUCUGUAAAUAUUUGGACAGUGGUACAAUUCGUGAGCUGAGAAUUAGGUUAUAUCUGCAUUCUAAUCUUCAAAUAUUCCAACGUGAAUGAGCUCCAAGCUGAUAUGACCUUUUCAAUAUUUGUCCAAAGUGUCAGUUAGAACCUUAUAAUUCUCUGUUCUUUUGGAACAUUUGGAACCAAAUACGGACCUCAUGUUGUGGAAAUCCUCUUAUCCUAAAAUCAGCUUAACCUAUUAUGUUAUUAUUGCUUUUCAAGCAUAUCAGUUAUAUACAGUAGCUUCAUGUUACAUGGCUGAUACAGGGAGCAAUCCUGAUCAGAGAGCCUAAAGAAGUGUUCUUGCCAAGAGCCUUGCUGUCAAAGGGCUGUUACAGUGAUUCCAUUGAUUCCUCUGUGAGCUGCUCAUUAGUGCAUAAAGCCAGCUCACAGAGGCUUGCGUGUUUGAUUAUGGGGUUUUGGCAACUGAUGUGCAAGCACUGUUCUUACAGUAAAGGCGAAGGAAUGAAUGGAAAUGAAAAAUGAAUAUUUUUUGUUGUUGUGUAUUAUAUGGGGAAAAUGGCUCAAAAUAAGUAUGCUAAUAUUCAUGUCAAAAAUCCCAAUAAAAAUACUUUUGUGGGAAAAAAAAAAA